AUCGCUCGACGUGGGGAACUGCGA
rnacentral:siRNA from 1 species